rnacentral:rRNA from 1 species
AGAGAAGUUAAUAAGAGUACACGGGGGAUGCCUAGGCUCUUGGAGGCGAAGAAGGACGUGACAAGCUGCGAAAAUCCACGGGGAUUGGCACAUACGAAUAGAUCCGUGGGAAUCCGAAUGGGGGAACCCAAUACGUAGGCGACGUAUUACCGCAAUAUAGCGGGGCGAACGCAGGGAACUGAAACAUCUAAGUACCUGUAGGAAGAGAAAAUAACAAUGAUUCCGGGAGUAGUGGUGAGCGAAACUGGAAAAGCCCAAACCAAUGAUGUUACGGCAUUAUUGGGGUAGUAGGACCACGAUAUACUAUUAAACGACAUAUAAGAAUUAUCUGGGAAGGUAAACCAUAGGAGGUGAUAGUCCUGUAUUAGACAUGUUAGUUUAAGGUUAGUGGUAUCCUGAGUAAGGCGGGACCGGAGGAAUCCUGUCUGAAUCAACCGGCACCAUCCGGUAAGGCUAAAUACUACCAAGAGACCGAUAGUGAACCAGUACUGUGAAGGAAAGGUGAAAAGAACCGUGAAUAACGGAGUGCAAUAGAACCUGAAACUGUGUACUUACAAGCGGUCGGAGCCACUGUUAGUGGUGACGGCGUGCCUUUUGCAUAAUGAGCCUACGAGUUAAUGUUGUUAGCGAGGUUAAGGUAUUAAGUAUCGUAGCCGAAGCGAAAGCGAGUCUGAACAG